CGCGUGGGUGGUAGUGCAAGUCUGAGGUGGAAUCCCAGGGCUUAACCCUGGAACUGCCUUGGAAACUGCAUUACUUGAGUCAGUAAGGGGAGGGUAGAAUUCCUGGUGUAGCGGUGAAAUGCGUAGAUAUCAGGAGGAAGGCCGGUGGCGAAGGCGGCCCUCUGGCGCUGAACUGACACUGAGGCGCGAAAGCGUGGGGAGCAAACAGGAUUAGAUACCCUGGUAGUCCACGCCCUAAACGGUGGGUACUAGGUGUAGGGCUCGUAAGGGUUCUGUGCCGAAGCGAAAGCAUUAAGUACCCCGCCUGGGGAGUACGGCCGCAAGGUUGAA
rnacentral:rRNA from 1 species